UCUCCAAAUUUGACAUGCUGACAGAUUUCUUCUUACAAACUGCAGAGAAAGAUGAUCCAGAUCAAAACCAGUGUCAGUCUUCAGAGACAGCAAGUGAA